ensembl:lncRNA
UUAUUACCAGCGCCAGGGAGGAAGUUUCUACCAGCGGGGAUUAUGCGCAGUUUCCUUGCCCAGAAGCUUUUGGGCUUUGUCCCCUCCCACUCUUGAAAAGCAGCGAUUCCACAAACUAGAGGUGGUGGGAAGGGAGGGGGGUGGGGGGUUAGUAAAAAAAAAAAAAAAAAAAAAAGCGGGGCAAACUUAAACCUGCUCCUUUUGCUAUGCCUUUUUCUCCCUCCUCGCUUUUUACGGAGCUAGAAGAAGGAGCACGUUUCGGCCGCGUUUUUGUACACCGGGCGGCACAGAAGUGCAUUGUGUUGGGACCGGAGCAGGGAGGGAGGAGGAGGAGGGUGCUGGAGGAGCACAGCUGCACGGCGCACAAGAGCCGGCAUCUCAGCCUGACAGGCAGGCGAGCAGCAAGAGGGAGAGAGCGAAACGAGGGCUCUUCCGCCGCACUCUUUGAGGGGGUUCCUCUCCGUCCAGCGUUCGCCCCCACCAACCCGACAAACUCACCAUUCCCCCACGUUACAGCAGCUCCGUCCGGGAUUUUUAUUUAUUUAUUUAAUUGUUUUCAAAUCAAAGCACUGAAAUGUGGAAUGGACGCGGACAAGAGAAAGGAUUCUGUUCUCCUCUUCUGUGGCUGGCUACUCAAAUUCAGUACAUGGGUGGAGCAGCAUCUGUUAAUGCAGUCCAGGAUUGCUGACAUCAAGCCAGGAGUAGAAAGUCAAGGAGCUGGCUUGUGCAGUCUGCAGGCUGCUAAGGUUUCUACAGUUUCUGCAGACCCUCUGCUCUUCACAUUCACAUCCAGCCACAACUGGAGAAAGGGAGCAGUGACUAAGCCCUCUCUGCUCCACUGUAAAGGAAAAGAAAUGGAAAAUGACCCUUCCUAAAUGAAACAACUGGAAUCCAGCCAGCCUCUGUCUCUAAG